GCAUAUCAAUUAAGCGGAGGAAAAGAAACCAACAGGGAUUGCCUCAGUAGCGGCGAGUGAAGCGGCAAAAGCUCCAUUUUGAAAGCUCUUCGGAGCGUUGUAGAUUGGUGGGAAGCUAACGGCUGGUGGGAGACCAAGUCCUCUGGAACGAGGCGCCAUAGAGGGUGAGAGCCCCGUGUGUCUCCUUUACCGACCUUUCAGCCCCCUCCGCGGAGUCGAGUUGUUUGGGAAUGCAGCUCUAAGUGGGUGGUAAAUUCCAUCUAAGGCUAAAUAUUGGCGAGAGACCGAUAGCGAACAAGUACAGUGAUGGAAAGAUGAAAAGCACUUUGAAAAGAGAGUGAAACAGUACGUGAAAUUGUUGAAAGGGAAGGGUAUUUGGCCCGACAUGGGUCCUAUGCACCGUUGCCUCUCGUGGGCGGCGCUCUGCUUGGGCCUGGGCCAGCGUCAGUUUGGAGGGGGCGAGAAGGGUUUUGGGGAGUUGCCUAGCAAUUCCCCUUUGCUAGAUUGCCCCACACCGGACUGAGGACCGCCAUCUGUAGGAUGCUGGCACAACGGCCAAAUACCGCCCGUCUUGAAAACACGG
rnacentral:rRNA from 1 species